UGGAGAAGGGAAUGCCAACCCACUCCAGCAUUCUUGCCUGGAGAAUCCCAUGGACAGAGGAGCCUGACAGGCUACAGUUGAAGAGUCGCACCGAGUGGGACACGACUGAACGACUAACACUUCACUUUGUAUCCCAGAAGUGUUUCUGCCUAUAACCUUGAAAUAAUUCUAAUUAAACUAUGGAGGCUUUAUACUCUGGAAAACACUGUUCUAUGAAGCCGGUUUCCCCAUUUUGUCUCUCAUUUUCAGCUAAUUCCUAGCAGACGCUGAGUGAAUUUACAUGCUGAAGCAGUCAGGAGGACUCGUCCAAGAACUGCCAACCGGACAGCUGGAUUUGAUGUUCUUUUGAGUUCAUCUUUGGUCCUCUUGCCAUUGCCUGACAGGGAAGACCUCUUUUUACCACUCGGUCUCCUGAAUCUCACACUUGUAUUUUAGCUUCUUUAACAAAGGCUCUGACUGCUUGUGGCCCCCACACCUUAGCAUGUGCUAACACCUCAACCUGGACCACCACCUUCCUCUACCAUUUCUACUAACUUGGCUCAGCUAGCAAUAUAACUCACCUAGACUCAUCCUCUGGAAUUCUUCCCUGGCCCUCUUCCCUACCCACUCACCUUCCUCUGAUUUGAUUUCCUCUGGGCUCCCAGAACUCUUGGUAAUUUCCCCUGUUAGAGCACACAUACACGUGUGUGUGUGAACUCAUAUAUGAUGUAUUUAUCCAUAAGCUUCAUGAGAGCAGAGUUUUUUGCUUUUCUGUUUUUUAGAUCUUUGUGUUCCCAGCACCUCACAGCAGAAUACCUAGACGAAUACGACUGAGAUCUCAAACUGGUGACCUACAGGCCUUACCCAGCCCACCAAAUUAAUUUUGUUUGGCUCUUUUCUCAAAUUUAUUUUUUAAAAUGUCAGGUCACAUUUUAAAAUCUGCAUUUGCAUACCGAUCAGGGUCUUUGACUUCUCCUGAAGAAUGAUCUAUGCCCCCAGGCCCCGCCCCCAAACCUGUUUCCACGUGGCAGCAGGCACCUAGUGCAGAGAUGGGCCCCUUUGACCAGAUGCCAGCACUUCACGUUAUUGUAGCCUCUGCCACUCCCUGUUGCUUCCUCUCUGAGGCUCCGUGUAAGGUGUCAUUUAUAUUCAGUGUGCACUAAUGUUUUUCUU